UGCAUAAACUGGGCCAAGGAGCAGCUGACCAGAUUACCUAAAAUAUAACGAAUCCCCUUAGACCUCAGAGGAGAAGCCGAGGCAUGCUCUCAGAGCCGCUGUGGUCUGCACUGUUCUUAUCAGAAGAGCAAAAUCAUCAAAACCCAUGAUCCUACAGAGGAUUAAAAAUUCCCCUCUAAAAUAGGAGAGGGUUAAUAAUAAACAUAAUAACGAGAUUU
rnacentral:lncRNA from 1 species